UACGUAGGUGGCAAGCGUUAUCCGGAAUUAUUGGGCGUAAAGAGCGCGUAGGCGGCUUUGCAAGUCAGGUGUGAAAUCCCGGGGCUCAACCCCGGAAGAGCAUUUGAUACUGUGGAGCUUGAGUAUGGGAGAGGGAAGUGGAAUUCCUGGUGUAGCGGUGAAAUGCGUAGAUAUCAGUAGGAACACCGGUGGCGAAGGCGGCUUCCUGGACCAAUACUGACGCUGAGGCGCGAAGGCGUGGGGAGCAAACAGGAUUAGAUACCCUGGUA
rnacentral:rRNA from 1 species